AUUGAACGCUGGCGGCAGGCCUAACACAUGCAAGUCGAGCGGAUGAGGAAAGCUUGCUUUUCGAUUCAGCGGCGGACGGGUGAGUAAUGCCUAGGAAUCUGCCUGUUAGUGGGGGAUAACUCGUGGAAACUCGGGCUAAUACCGCAUACGACCUACGGGAGAACGUGGGGGAUCUUCUGACCUCACGCUAACAACUGAGCCUACGUCGGAUUAGCUAGUAGGUGAGGUAAUGGCUCACCUAGGCGACGAUCCGUUACUGUGCUGAGAGGAUGAUAAGUCACACUGGAACUUAGACACCGUCAAGACUCCUCCGGGAGGCAGCAGUGGGGAAUAUUGGACAAUGGGCGAAAGACUGAUCCAGCCAUGCCGAGUGUGUGAAGAAGGUCUUCGGAUUGUAAAGCACUUUAAGUUGGGAGGAAGGGCAGUAAGUUAAUACCUUGCUGUUUUGACGUUACCGACAGAAUAAGCACCGGCUAACUCUGUGCCAGCAGCCGCGGUAACAC
rnacentral:rRNA from 1 species